CAAUAGCGUAUAUUAAAGCUGUUGCGGUUAAAAAGCUCGUAGUUGGAUUUCUGUCAAGGACAACUGGUCCGCCCUCCGGGUGAGCACAUAGUUUGAUCUUGACAUCUUGCUGGAAGCUGUUGCUGCACUUGGCUGUGUGGCGCAGUGUUCAGCACUUUCACUUUGAGGAAAUUGGAGUGUUUCAAGCAGGCACAUGCCUUUGGACACAGUAGCAUGGAAUAAUUAGAUUGGGCUUUUGCUCCAAUUUGUCGGUUUCUGGAGCUGAGGUGAGUAUUAAUGGGGAUUGUUGGGGGCAUCCGAAUUUAGCCGUCAGAGGUGAAAUUCUUGGAUCUGCUAAAGACGGACAACUGCGAAAGCGUUUGCCCAGGAUGUUUUCAUUGA
rnacentral:rRNA from 1 species